rnacentral:misc_RNA from 1 species
CAAGGCUCAAGCUUCACUGCUUGGUGUUGGGCGUCUGUCCCGCGCUCCGCGCGUGGACUCGCCCCAAAGACAUUGGCAGCCCAGGCCGUCCGACCCGCCCGCAGCACAUUGCGUCUGGCGAGUCGACGGCGGCCCCGGCAUCCAGCAAGCUCCUCUCACCG